rnacentral:rRNA from 1 species
UACGUAGGUGGCAAGCGUUGUCCGGAAUUAUUGGGCGUAAAGCGCGCGCAGGCGGCAAGGUAAGUAAGGUGUGAAAUCUGUCGGCUCAACCGGGAGGGUGCACUUUAGACUGCUUUGCUUGAGGUCGGUAGAGGGGGGUGGAAUUGCUGGUGUAGCGGUGAAAUGCGUAGAGAUCAGCAGGAACACCCGUGGCGAAGGCGGCCCCUGGGCCGUACCUGACGCUGAGGCGCGAAGGCUAGGGGAGCGAACGGG